rnacentral:piRNA from 2 species
UAUGAACUGGAGGUGGACACUCAGUCAGGC